ACCGUGCAUUUGUGUGUGUGCAUGCAUGUGUACUGUGCAUCCGAGUGUGUGCAUGUGUGUGUACCGUGCAUCUGUGUGCGUGCAUUCAUGUGUACCCUGCAUCUAUGUGUGCUGUGUGCAUUCAUGUGUACUGUGCCUGUGUGUGUGCAUUUGUGUGUACCAUGCAUCUCUGCUGUGUGUGCAUUCGUGUGUACUGUGCAUCUGUGUGUACUGUGUGUGCAUUCAUGUGUACUGUGCAUCUGUGUGUGCUGUGUGUGCAUUCGUGUGUACCCUGCAUCUGUGUGUGUGCUGUGUGUGCAUUCGUGUGUACCGUGCAUCUGUGUGUGCUGUGUGCAUUCAUGUGUGUCCUGCAUGUAUGUGCUGUGUGUGCAUUCGUGUGUACUGUGCAUCUGUGUGUGCUGUGUGUGCAUUCAUGUGUACCCUGCAUGUAUGUGCUGUGUGUGCAUUCGUGUGUACUGUGCAUCUGUGUGUGUGCUGUGUGUGCAUUCAUGUGUACCCUGCAUGUGUGUAUGUGCUGUGUGUGCAUUCGUGUGUACUGUGCAUCUGUGUGUGUGCUGUGUGCAUUCCUGUGUACCAUGCAUCUGUGUGUGCUGUGUGUGCAUUCCUGUGUACUGUGCAUUUGUGCUGUGUGUGCAUUCAUGUGUACCGUGCAUCUGUGUGUGCUGUGUGUGCAUUCGUGUGUACCCUGCAUGUGUGUAUGUGCUGUGUGUGCAUUCGUGUGUACUGUGCAUCUGUGUGUGUGCUGUGUGGUAUUCAUGUGUACUGUGCAUCUGUGUGUGCUGUGUAUAUUCAUGUGUACCCUGCAUCUGUGUGUGUGCUGUCUGUGCAUUCGUGUGUACUGUGCAUCUGUGUGUGCUGUGUGUAUUCAUGUGUACCCUGCACCUAUGUGUGUGCUGUCUGUGCAUUCGUGUGUACUGUGCAUCUGUGUGUGCUGUGUGUGCAUUCAUGUGUACCCUGCAUCUGUGUGUGUGCAUUUGUGUGUACUGUGCGCCUGUGUGUGUGCUGUAUGCAUUCGUGUGUACCGUGCAGCUGUGUGGGUGCAUUCAUGUGUACCCUGCAUAUGUGUGGCGUUUGAUGCCUCAGUGGUGGGUUCCUUGUGCAUGUUCAUGUGUGCGUGUGCUGUGCCCAAGUGUGCACGCAUGGCCCAGAGCGGCAUCCGAGUGGAUAGCAGGAAUCUGUUCAGAGAGCCCCUCCCCGUCAUGUCAUUGGUCUGCUUUACCGAUGGCCUGGCCUGCCACGGUGCUGGCGCCCGCCUGGCUGCACUUCCCAGCUCUGGGGUCAGUGUUGCCCCGAGGCUGCUGGCCAGUGCCAGUGCCCUGACGCCCUCCCUCUCCUGCAGGGAAGCCGGAGCUUCCCCGGCAGCCUGGCUCCACGGCUCAGUAUGAUGCUGGGGCAGGGUCCCCGGAAGCCGAACCCACAGACUCUGACUCACCGCCAAGCAGCAGCGCGGACGCCAGUCGCUUCCUGCACACGCUGGACUGGCAGGAAGAGAAGGAGGCAGAGACUGGUGCAGAAAAUGCCUCUCCCAAGGAGAGCGAGUCUGCCCUGAUGGAGGACAGAGACGAGAGUGAGGUGUCAGAUGAUGGGGGGUCCCCGAUCUCCAGCGAGGGCCAGGAACCCAGGGCCGACCCAGAGCCCCCUGGCCUGGCAGCAGGGCCGGUGCAGCAGGACUUGGUUUUUGAGGUGGAGACACCGGCUGUGCUGCCGGAGCCUGUGCCACAGGAAGACGGGGUCGACCUCCUGGGCCUGCACUCCGAGGUGGGCGCAGGGCCAGCUGUACCCCCGCAGGCCUGCAAGGCCCCCUCCAGCAACACCGACCUGCUCAGCUGCCUCCUUGGGCCCCCUGAGGCCGCCUCCCAGGGGCCCCCGGAGGAUCUGCUCAGCGAGGACCCGCUGCUCCUGGCAAGCCCGGCCCCUCCCCUGAGCGUGCAGAGCACCCCAAGAGGAGGGCCCCCUGCCGCUGCUGACCCCUUUGGCCCGCUUCUGCCGUCUUCAGGCAACAACUCCCAGCCCUGCUCCAAUCCUGAUCUCUUCGGCGAAUUUCUCAAUUCGGACUCUGUGACCGUCCCACCAUCCUUCCCGUCUGCCCACAGCGCUCCGCCCCCAUCCUGCAGCGCCGACUUCCUGCACCUGGGGGAUCUGCCAGGAGAGCCCAGCAAGAUGACAGCCUCGUCUAGCAACCCAGACCUGCUGGGAGGAUGGGCUGCCUGGACCGAGACUGCAGCGUCGGCAGUGGCCCCCACGCCAGCCACAGAAGGCUCACCAGCUGGAUUCCCUCCUGGGGGCUUCAUUCCCAAAACGGCCACCACGCCCAAAGGCAGCAGCUCCUGGCAGACAAGUCGGCCGCCAGCCCAGGGCGCCUCAUGGCCCCCUCAGGCCAAGCCGCCCCCCAAAGCCUGCACACAGCCAAGGCCUAACUAUGCCUCGAACUUCAGUGUGAUCGGGGCGCGAGAGGAGCGGGGUGUCCGCGCACCCAGCUUUGGUGAGUCCCCCACUCUCUGUUGCUGUGGAGUUUGCAGAGACCUCCCUGAAUUGGCUAAAGGUAGAACCUAUGUUGUUUUCUUCAUCUCAGAGCCCAGUCCUGGGACAGGCACGGCCAAGCCACUCAGAGAACGACGCGGUUUCCGACGUGUGUCCACUGGUCUCUCUCUGGGUCAGGCCUCUGGGUCCCUCUUGUUCCAGUGACACCUUCUUGACCUGUUUUUAACAAAUGGCCUUUGCAACCCUGUCUUGUCUUCCCUCUUCUUUACUCUGGAGGCAUCAGGAUGGUAGCCCUGUUCCCGGGAGCAGCAGGUGGAAUUGGGCCUGUGUGUCUCUGCAGAAAGUUUCUGUUCUUAACUGGGCUUUGUGGCUCACGCCUGUAAUCCCAGCACUUUGGGAGGCUGAGGCGGACAGAUCGCUGGAGCCCAGGAGUUCAAGACCAGCCUGGGCAACAGUGAUACCUCCUCUCUACAAAAAAUGUAAAAAUUAGCCAGGCAUGGUGGCGCAUGCCUGUGGUCCCAGCUACUUGGGAGGCUGAGGCAAGAGGAUUGCUUGAGGCCGGGAGGCAAAGGCCGCAGAGAGCUGAGAUCACGCCAUUGCACUCUGGCCUGGGUGACAGAGUGGAGACCCUGUCUCAAACAAAAAAAAGUUUCUGUUCUUUUCUAGCUCAAAAGCCAAAAGUCUCUGAGAACGACUUUGAAGAUCUGUUGUCCAAUCAAGGCUUCUCCUCCAGGUCUGACAAGAAAGGGCCAAAGACCAUUGCAGAGAUGAGGAAGCAGGACCUGGCUAAAGACACGGACCCACUCAAGCUGAAGCUCCUGGACUGGAUUGACGGCAAGGAGCGGAACAUCCGGGCCCUGCUGUCCACGCUGCACACAGUGCUGUGGGACGGGGAGAGCCGCUGGACGCCCGUGGGCAUGGCCGACCUGGUGGCUCCGGAGCAGGUGAAGAAGCACUAUCGCCGCGCGGUGCUGGCCGUGCACCCCGACAAGGCCGCAGGGCAGCCAUACGAGCAGCACGCCAAGAUGAUCUUCAUGGAGCUGAAUGACGCCUGGUCGGAGUUUGAGAACCAGGGCUCCCGGCCCCUCUUCUGAGGCCGCAGUGGUGGUGGCUGCGCACACAGCUCCACAGGUUGGGAGCCGUCAUGGGACUUGGGUCCCCACCGUGAGGACCCCGUGGGCGACAGCAGGUGUGGCCAGGGUGGGGCUCCGAGCCCCGGGUCACCGCCCGCCCAGCAUUCCAGGCACAUGAAGAGAAAGCAUUCCAAAGCCUCUGAUUGUUGUUUCCUUUUUCUCCUCCCGAAGGAACAGCUGAUUCAUGCUCCUCCCACAAUUGUCACGUCUGUGAUUUAUUUGGUGUUUCGGGCGUGGUCUCUGGAGCCCCGGCACGUGGUGGGCCACGCUGCUGGCGCUCAUGGGCCCUGGUGUUUGCACCGCACUUUGUAAUCAGUCCCGUGGUUGUCUGUACAGAAUUAAACUAUUUUCCGAUG
rnacentral:sRNA from 1 species